rnacentral:tRNA from 1 species
GGCCAAGUACUUUAAAAAAAAGAAAUAGUUUGCACCUAUGAAAUAAGAAGCCUUCUUCUUAGCCA